GUUGUUUGGGAGAUAAAAACAGCAUAGGUCUCAUAAUCCUAAGGUCGUGAGUUCGAGUCUCACAGGGAGCA